AACGAACGCUGGCGGCAUGCCUAACACAUGCAAGUCGAACGAGCCCUUCGGGUCUAGUGGCGCACGGGUGCGUAACGCGUGGGAACCUGCCCUUAGGUUCGGAAUAACUCCCCGAAAGGGGUGCUAAUACCGGAUAAUGUCUUCGGACCAAAGAUUUAUCGCCUUUGGAUGGGCCCGCGUUGGAUUAGCUAGUUGGUAGGGUAAAAGCCUACCAAGGCGACGAUCCAUAGCUGGUCUGAGAGGAUGAUCAGCCACAUUGGGACUGAGACACGGCCCAGACUCCUACGGGAGGCAGCAGUGGGGAAUAUUGCACAAUGGGCGAAAGCCUGAUCCAGCAAUGCCGCGUGAAUGAUGAAGGCCUUAGGGUUGUAAAACUCUUUUACCCGGGAUGAUAAUGACAGUACCGGGAGAAGAAGCCCCGGCUAACUCCGUG
rnacentral:rRNA from 1 species